AACGAACGCUGGCGGCAUGCCUAACACAUGCAAGUCGAACGAAAAGUUCGGGACUAGUGGCGCACGGGUGCGUAACGCGUGGGAACCUGACCUCAGGGUCGGAAUAACUCCACGAAAGGGGUGACAAUAGGGGAUAAUGUCUUCGGCCCAAAGAUUUAUCGCCUUUGGAUGGGCCCGAGUUGGAUUAGCUAGUUGGUAGGGUAAAAGCCUACCAAGGCGACGAUCCAUAGCUGGUCUGAGAGGAUGAUCAGCCACACUGGGACUGAGACACGGCCCAGACUCCUACGGGAGGCAGCAGUGGGGAAUAUUGGACAAUGGGCGAAAGCCUGAUCCAGCAAUGCCGCGUGAGUGAUGAAGGCCUUAGGGUUGUAAAGCUCUUUUAACCGGGAUGAUAAUGACAGUACCGGGAGAAUAAGCUCCGGCUAACUCCGUG
rnacentral:rRNA from 1 species